AGUUUGAUCAUGGCUCAGAUUGAACGCUGGCGGCAUGCCUUACACAUGCAAGUCGAACGGCAGCACGGGGGCAACCCUGGUGGCGAGUGGCGAACGGGUGAGUAAUGCAUCGGAACGUGCCCAGUAGUGGGGGAUAACCCGGCGAAAGCCGGGCUAAUACCGCAUACGACCUAAGGGUGAAAGCGGGGGAUCGCAAGACCUCGCGCUAUUGGAGCGGCCGAUGUCUGAUUAGCUAGUUGGCGGGGUAAGAGCCCACCAAGGCGACGAUCAGUAGCUGGUCUGAGAGGACGACCAGCCACACUGGGACUGAGACACGGCCCAGACUCCUACGGGAGGCAGCAGUGGGGAAUUUUGGACAAUGGGCGCAAGCCUGAUCCAGCCAUGCCGCGUGCGGGAAGAAGGCCUUCGGGUUGUAAACCGCUUUUGGCAGGAACGAAACGGCGCGAGCGAAUACCUUGCGCUAAUGACGGACCUGC
rnacentral:rRNA from 1 species